rnacentral:rRNA from 1 species
CGAACGCUGGCGGCGUGCUUAACACAUGCAAGUCGAGCGGUAAGGCCCUUUGGGGUACACGAGCGGCGAACGGGUGAGUAACACGUGGGUGACCUGCCCCCUACUCUGGGAUAAGCCUGGGAAACUGGGUCUAAUACCGGAUAUGACUACAUGUCGCAUGGUGUGUGGUGGAAAGCCAGUUACAUUUGUUUCUGGUGGUGGGGGAUGGGCCCGCGGCCUAUCAGCUUGUUGGUGGGGUGAUGGCCUACCAAGGCGACGACGGGUAGCCGGCCUGAGAGGGCGACCGGCCACACUGGGACUGAGACACGGCCCAGACUCCUACGGGAGGCAGCAGUGGGGAAUAUUGCGCAAUGGGCGGAAGCCUGACGCAGCGACGCCGCGUGGGGGAUGACGGCCUUCGGGUUGUAAACCUCUUUCGGCCCCGACGAAGCGUGAGUGACGGUAGGGGUAGAAGAAGCACCGGCCAACUACGUGCCAGCAGCCGCGGUAAUACGUAGGGUGCGAGCGUUGUCCGGAAUUAUUGGGCGUAAAGAGCUCGUAGGCGGUCUGUCGCGUCGGUCGUGAAAACUUGGGGCUUAACCCUGAGCUUGCGGUCGAUACGGGCAUGACUGGAGUUCGGCAGGGGAGACUGGAAUUCCUGGUGUAGCGGUGAAAUGCGCAGAUAUCAGGAGGAACACCGGUGGCGAAGGCGGGUCUCUGGGCCGAUACUGACGCUGAGGAGCGAAAGCGUGGGGAGCGAACAGGAUUAGAUACCCUGGUAGUCCACGCCGUAAACGGUGGGCGCUAGGUGUGGGGGCCAUUCCACGGUCUCUGUGCCGUAGCUAACGCAUUAAGCGCCCCGCCUGGGGAGUACGGCCGCAAGGCUAAA